AAUAAUACGAUCUCGUUGAGCGUAUCGCGAUUCCUGACCUACACAAAGUCGGAAAUCCGAUCAGCUAAAUUCGAUGUAGAUUCUUCCUUUUGUUCGUCCCUUUUUGCGAAUUAUACCGGCGAAUAAACAUUUCCAAGUUAUUAAAGCCUGCAGCAGAGAUCGAUCGAAGGCUCCCAGCGCGACGGCAACGUGCUUCGGGUGAAGCUAGUAAUGAGAAGGAGACCCGGCGCGGGAGACACAAGGGCAAGAAGUUUCUAAUUAACACCUUUUCUCCAAACCGGUUGAGAGUCAACUACUUCAUGUCGAACAUCAAUAUCGAGCGCGCUUAAUACACACGAAUGAACGAAUUUGUAGUGCGGGAGCGACGACUGUGGCGCCUGGUCUGCUGCUGCUGCUGCGAGCUUUCCUCGUGGCUCGUACGACUAAUCCUGGCCCGAGGCCAGUGCUUCGGAGUGAAAAAGAUCCAGCUAUGCGGAGAGCCAGAGAGGGAGAGAGGGGGUGGCGAGUGAAUAUAUACAAACAUGAGACAACACACGUUUGCCAGUGCAAACAUAUAACUCUGGCGUGCCAAUGUCGAAAGUCGUUUGCCCAACGAUGACACGAAUGACGCAAGAUCGUCUUACGCCCCAUGCGAAUUGAUCGAGCAGAUGUAACGCUGGACAUACAUGCUGACCGAGAUUGCCACGAACGAAGGAAUUUCUCCAAAUAACGAGAUAUCAAGAUACACAGUGAGACUGGACCGCUCGUAUAUGAAGCUGCACAUAUACAAGCACGGAUUACAUAAGCCGGAUAAACUUUCGAGGCGUUGCAAGCCAGAUUAUGUGGACUAAAAAUAGUUGAGCGCGCAGAGUACGAAACUCGUCAUCGAGCGUAAUCGCCUCUCGGUGAACCACUUCAUCCAGUCGUUAAUCGCUCUGGGCCAGAGGGCGACGUGGUCAGUCACGAAAAUACAUAUGACGUUAUAGCCGAGUGCUGCUAGAGUAACU